AAUGAACGCUGGCGGCGCGCCUAAUACAUGCAAGUCGAGCGAGAAGACGUAGCAAUACGUUUGUAAAGCGGCGAACGGGUGAGGAAUACAUGGGUAACCUACCCUCGAGUGGGGAAUAACUAGCCGAAAGGUUAGCUAAUACCGCGUACGCUCCUUGGACUUCGGUUCAGGGAGGAAAGCGAUACCGUGGGUAUCGCGCUCUUGGUUGGGUUCAUGUCCUAUCAGCUUGUUGGUGAGGUAACGGCUCACCAAGGCUUCGACGGGUAGCUGGUCUGAGAGGACGAUCAGCCACACUGGCACUGCGACACGGGCCAGACUCCUACGGGAGGCAGCAGUAAGGAAUAUUGCGCAAUGGGCGAAAGCCUGACGCAGCGACGCCGCGUGGGGGAUGAAGGUCUUCGGAUUGUAAACCC
rnacentral:rRNA from 1 species